GACGAACGCUGGCGGCGUGCUUAACACAUGCAAGUCGAACGGUGAAGCCCUUCGGGGUGGAUCAGUGGCGAACGGGUGAGUAACACGUGAGCAACCUGCCCCUGGCUCUGGGACAACCACUGGAAACGGUGGCUAAUACCGGAUACGACCCGCCUCGGCAUCGAGUGUGGGUGGAAAGUUUUUCGGCUGGGGAUGGGCUCGCGGCCUAUCAGCUUGUUGGUGAGGUGAAGGCUCACCAAGGCGACGACGGGGAGCCGGCCUGAGAGGGCGACCGGCCACACUGGGACUGAGACACGGCCCAGACUCCUACGGGAGGCAGCAGUGGGGAAUAUCGCACAAUGGGCGAAAGCCUGAUGCAGCGACGCCGCGUGAGGGAUGACGGCCUUCGGGUUGUAAACCUCUUUCAGCUCCGAAGAAGCGAAAGUGACGGUAGGAGCAGAAGAAGCACCGGCUAACUACGUG
rnacentral:rRNA from 1 species